rnacentral:rRNA from 1 species
AUUGAACGCUGGCGGCAUGCCUUACACAUGCAAGUCGAACGGUAACAGGUCUUCGGAUGCUGACGAGUGGCGAACGGGUGAGUAAUACAUCGGAACGUGCCCGAGAGUGGGGGAUAACGAGGCGAAAGCUUUGCUAAUACCGCAUACGAUCUCAGGAUGAAAGCAGGGGACCGCAAGGCCUUGCGCUCACGGAGCGGCCGAUGGCAGAUUAGGUAGUUGGUGGGAUAAAAGCUUACCGAGCCGACGAUCUGUAGCUGGUCUGAGAGGACGACCAGCCACACUGGGACUGAGACACGGCCCAGACUCCUACGGGAGGCAGCAGUGGGGAAUUUUGGACAAUGGGCGCAAGCCUGAUCCAGCCAUGCCGCGUGCAGGAUGAAGGCCUUCGGGUUGUAAACUGCUUUUGUACGGAACGAAAAGACUCUGGUUAAUACCUGGGGUCCAUGACGGUACCGUAAGAAUAAGCACCGGCUAACUACGUGCCAGCCGCCGCGGUAAGAC